ensembl:lncRNA
GGUUUGGCAUUUCCCCUUUUCUGAUUGGCUGCCUCCCCAGGGCCUGGGCCUCAGUGCUGGUGGCCCUCUGGGGGUCGGGAGCGCAUAAAUAGUUCCUGCUGGGGAAACUGGGAAACUGGUCUCAGACAAGAGGAACAGACAUCUCUGCCACGCACUGCUGCCUGGAGCUGCAUGAGGUCCCAGUGCUGCCAGCGUGUCUUCUGUGUAUAGCCCCAUGCACCUCUGCCUCAGCCACAGCCCUUCCCCGCAGCAGCUCCCGCGGCCUGGCCUGGUAGAGCUGCAGUCCCAGGCCUCCUUCUACUCCUUCCUGGUACGACUGCAUGAACCCCAGAGACCCAAGAAGCGAGUAGUGUUUGCAGACACGAAGGGGAUCUCGUUGACAUCCGUGUACAAGUUUGAAGAUGCUGUGGGCAGACACGUGUCCCAUGUUCAGUUUCCUGCGCCCUGAGCCACCUGGCUGGCCAGAGCCACCACCUACGCUCUGGGCUUCCCCGCACCCAGGCAGGGUUCGGGGGUUCCAGAGGCGCCUGCAGGUGCAGAGUGUGCGCCCGGAGCAGCGUGCUGGGCAGGGGGCUUCCUGCGAGGCGCUGUCUAGCAGGCAGGCUGGGUUCCAGAAGGCAAGGCAGAUGCGCAUCACCUUUGAUGUCAGGGCUCCUUCCAAGAAGUGCCUAGUGUUCACACGGCCAGUCCUUGCAGAAGCGAGACUGACAGCUUCGCCUUCCAAGCCAUGUUGCCACUAGGUCCCCCAGGCCGGUGGGCACCAUUCAGUUCUGCUUCUGUUGUUGGGGAAAACAAUCAAGGGCAAACCUGUUGUUUGGUGCCCAGUUCUCAGUCACGCUCAUCACAAUGUAAGUGAGCUCUGUGAGGGCCCACAGACAGGGUGAGCCGUCUGUGGUUACAUUUUCUGCAGAGGCGAAGCUUGAAUUCCUCACCCAGGAUGUGCUAUUCCUAUCGCUUCUGGAACUUUAUUCAGACUCUUCUUUCUCCUGAAUUCACAGUGGGGAGACAGGAGGGACACAACUCCCAGCCCCCAGAAAGCCUUGAAUGCUUUGCAUUCUUCUCUCACAAGGGGAGCCCACUUCCUGACCAAAGGGCUGAAAUUUCCUUUAGGGAGAUGCUGGGAAUGGCGCCCUUUACCCUUUGCAGAGGAGCCUUUGGAGUGUGGAAACAGAAGAAAUGUAAAUAAAGCUUUUAUGUGUCAUUAUUUAACAGGCCUGGCAGAGUGGCUGUAAGGACUGUGUGGAGUGGGGGAGGGCCGGGGAGGGUUCUUUGCAUUGAAAGCAGGAGGCACCCAGCACAGGAAGGAGCUCUUACACUUUCCUCUCCAGGUGGAAAGGGCCAGCUUUCUGGUAACUUGAAAUUGUACUGCUGCUUCAACUGUUGCCUAAAGAAAAGUUCAUUAAAGCAUCUUCAGUGGUUCACGUUGUAAACACUUGACCUUUCCCCCUCUUUAGCAGGUAAAAGUCUGGGGAAACUCUGUCUACCUCAAAACAGAUGCACUUAAAAAAAAACAAAAACAUUUUUAGCUGUUUUGUGCAUAAUUUACCAAGACCCAGAAACCUGACCUUUGUUCCUAGGCCCCUCCCUCCCCUGUUGUAUUUAUCACCCUAUAUGGAAACUGCUUAUUGAACUGUUUGCCACCCUCAGGGCCUGGAAAGGCUGGACCAGGACUGCCAUCCACCCUGCUGGCCCCCAGGCUGUCAGCCCUGGAAUGCUCAGGAGGUAAGGGUUGGAAUAAUAAGUGAAUGUUUGUGCCAGGUAGGCCCCUCGCUUCAACUUGCAAUGCUCUGAGAUCUUCAGUCUUCAGAAGAUUUUAGCCUCUUUUCGGAGAUUGCUCAUUCUCUCAGAUUACUGUUCGUGGAUGACAAAUUUUAAAUAUGUGUUUAAAAAGAAUGUUUCUCUCUUCUGAUUCCUUGACUUCUUGGGCUAUAUUUUUUUGUGCCGGUGGCAGGCUAUAUCAAUGCAAUCAUUGUGGCUGAGCAAGCAGCAUUCUCUUUUUCUCCCUAAAGGGCCUGCCCCAGCUGAUUCAAUCUGUAAAACAACCAGGUGGUUAACAGCGUAAAGCUAGAAGCAGCCAAACACACCGGCUUCCAGGGCCGCUCUGAACACAGCUGCAGCUUCCUCAUCUGAUAAGGAACGCUUUCAUAACUGCACCUGUUUCCUCCUGCUCCCUCUCCAGCCUUCUAGCCCUGCCUCCAUUAAGGGAUGAUCAGGAAUAGUGUCUCCUGCAGGUUUGAUUACUACAAGUCAGUGCUCACCCUGCCGUGAACUGGCAAAAUUGAGCCUGUAUAUUUUUAAAUUGAGGACCACGGUGUAGAUAUGGACUGAAAAACUUGUCUUCUUCAUUUUGCUCUUAACUGCAAAGUCUCUACUUCUUACAUCUGAGCAUUGUUGAAUUGAUCUGAUCCAACAUGUGCAUCGUCUGUAUUCUGAUGACUCUCACGUUUAUAUCACUAGCCUGAUCUCUCCUCCCAAUUCCAGACUCAUAUAUCAAAGAAUAGCAUCUCAAAUAGCAGUUGCAAAAAAAAUUAAAAAUAGAAUUACCACAUGAUCCAGCAAUCCCACGUUGAGGUAUAUAUUCAAGAGAGUUGAAAGCAGGAGCCCAGAUAUUUGUACAUUCACGAUCAUAGCAGCAUUACUCACAAUUGUUAAAAGGUGGAAGCAACUCAAAUGUCUAUACGUGGAGGACCGGGUAAAGAAAACGUGGUAUAUACAUACAGCAGGAUAUUAUUCAGCCUUAAAAAGGAAGGAAAUUCUGCCCCAUGCUACAACAUGGAUGAACCUGGAGGAUAUUAUGCUAAGUGAAAUAAGCCAGUCACAAAAAGACAAAUUUUGUAUGAUUUCACUUAUACUUCAUAUGAGUAUGAGCUAACAUCCAUGCCCAUCUUCCUCUACUUUAUACGCGGGAUGCCUACCACAGCAUGGCUUGAUGAGCGGUGCAAUGUCCGCACCUGGGAACCGAACCCGCGGACCCCAGGCCACCAAAGCGGAAUGUGCACACUUAACCGCUGCGCCACCGGGCCGGGGGUUUUUAUUUAAUGGGUAUUGAGUUUUCAUUUUUCAAGAUGAAAAAUUUCUAGAGAUCGGGUGUACAACAAUGUGAAUAUACUUAACACUACUGAACUGUGCCCUUAGAAAUGGUAAAGUUGGUAAGUUUUGUGUGUAUUUUACCACAACUAAUUUUUUUUAAAAAAAAAAGAACACAACUUUUGCUUAAUUUGGCUUUUUCUCUUGGUGCUUGGAAAUGAGCAUUGGUGUUGCUGGUUGUGUAGUAAACAGUUGUGGAUUCACCUCUUAAUGAAUGUUAAAGACUUUGUACGUUAAAAGGUGACCGUGGAAGGGAAAGGAAUUAUACAGCACACUUAUGGUGUUGUUCUACUGAGGGACAGAGUACCUUUCAAACGGAGUAUCUUCCCAGGUUCAUAGCACUGUGUGUCAUACACGCAGCAAACACAAUGAUUGUAGAGGCACAUUUUGGGAAAUGAGCUCAAAGUUAGGAUGGGAUGGGGAUCGUUAAACCUCUCACUGAGACCUUAAUCACUGUGACCCCCUUCUUUUAAUGGCCUAUCCUUCAUCAGGUACUUAAAAUUACUCACGUAGUUUUUGUAGCACAAGAGUAUUUUCAUCGUAGAAUGUGAAAAUACCUUCAACAAUAAUCUAGAGACAGUCCGAAUUCAGUGUCAAGGAAUUUAGUGCCGGCGAUGAGCCUGGUCAUGCUAUCAGGCAGUAGGCCUUCUCUAUAGAUAAACCCACGCCAUGUCUAAAUUCUCAAGCGUUACUUGCUCACUUUCUCUCUCUCCCAUUUGUAUUCUUUGUGCCUAGAAAUGACCAUGACAGAGAGAUGCCCAGAUCACUGACCUUUGCAAACAAAACUUUGGAGCCUAAGAGAACUAUAUUAACCCAGUUCUUACUGAUUUCCUCUUUGAGGGGGAAGUUUGAUUGCUUUCCCACACCAAAGAAGUUUAGAGAAUGUGCCAGUGAAUGGGUGCCUACUCUCACCUGGGUAUGUGUGCGUGUGUUGAUACCCAAGAAGUGAGUUUACUAUUUGGUUGGGCAAAGAAUCAAUGAACACGAUUUGUAUUGAGCCUGUAAUGUGUGUGACUUAUUUUUUAAUUUCAAAAUUAUUAUAUACAAGGAACUGUAAUAUUUGGUAAGAAUUGUGAGAAAAUUUAAACAUGAAUAGACACUAGCAGAGCAGACAGACAC